UAUAUUGCAAAACACAUGGGGAUGAGAUCUACGCCACAUAACGCGAUACAAAUCUUGCAUAACUUAAUUCUUAAGUAAUAAGACCAACUAGGAAGAUAUGAAUACUAUAGAUUAUCUGCUCAUGUUGGUGCACUCUAGAGACACGAAAACAUAGCUGUGACAGGAGUGUGUUAUUCACUUAUUUGUAUAAUUAUAUCAUGUCAAUGCUUCCAAUUACUUGACCUAGUCAUUUCCUUUGUUGUAACCAUUAGAAACUUGAGAUUGGGAGCUGAAGAGGCUAACGCAUUUGUGAGUACCUUUGUGUUUCUUGUUUAGCUUUUGAUGAUUGUCCAUAUUAUACAAAGCUAUUUUUAUAUGCAGUCUUAGGAGUCAACUCAAUUCAUAACAAGAGGCUUCCCGUGGGAAACAGAUCUGUAAAUGAUAUUGUUAUUAAGGAAAUGGGCUCUACGUUCCUGCGAUCAAGCAAGAAUUUAACUGGGAUACAAGCAUGAAAAAAAUAGGUCAAGAAAGAUUAAGAAACAAGCAGUCUAUUCUUUGUCAAAGAACUUGGCCUAGUGGAAGCAUACAAGGUGAUUGAAAUGUUAAUUAGCGAGAAAAAUGAACAUGUCGAGACAAUUGAGUAUUUGAAAGAAGUUGCUGACAAGCUUCU